rnacentral:pre_miRNA from 1 species
UUAAAGGCAAGCUUGGUGGAAAUGAGAGGUAGAGGGGACCGGUUCAACGGGAUAUUGGUCCGGUUCAAUAAGAAAGCAAUGCUCAAAAUGUUAUUGGGUCCUGUUUUUUCAUUGAGCCGUGCCAAUAUCACGAAACACUUCUCUUCAUACC